GGCCCCCGAACGGGCUACAGACACCAAAAUCGCAUCAGUCCUAACUGAGGUCAAGCUCUACCAGGGCCAAGUGGAACGGUGGCGAUAGGUUAUUCCUGUGCGAAAAGCCACCCCGUUUUAUACUCCCAGACCCGGCCUCCAUGUUAAACUGUGGGUCAGAGAGGUCGAGCUCCCUUUUGGGGCCGUACGCGGCCCGGGAAGGGGCUAGAGACCCCAAACUCGGGUCGGUGCAAACUGAGGUCAUGCCCUACGAGGGUGCGUUGGGAGGGUGACGCCAAAUCGUUCCUGUGCCGAACGCCAGCCCGUUUCUCACUGCAGAAAACAGGCCUCCAUAGGCCUCCAUGUUACAGUAUGGGGGAAACACACAUCUAAAUAUCUUGGCCCGGGAAGGGUCUGGAGACCCCAAACUUGGGUCAGUAAGACCUGGGACCAUGCCCUACGAGGGUGCGUUGGGAGGGUGACGCCAAAUCGUUCGUGCCCCGAACGCCAGCCCGUUUCUCACUGCAGAAAACAGGCCUCCAUAGGCCUCCAUGUUACAGUAUGGGGGAAACACACAUCUAAAUAUCUGAGCCCGGGAGGGGGCUAGAGACCCCAAACUCGGGUCACUGAUCACUAAGGACAUGGGCUACAAGUGUGCGUUGGGAGGGUGAAGCUACGUGGUCCCAGUGCAAAACGCCAGCCUUCUACACAUAUGUAAACAACAUGGCCGCCAUGGGCCCACUUUCCACGUCCAUUACUGCCCCGUCCUGGGGUCUAGGGGGGUGAAACUUAAACCACAGUGUCCCUGUGGCAGGUACUACCUGGGUGUGACGUUUGAAGUGAAUGAGACAAGGUGAAAAGGUCGCGUAAAAACGACCUAUAAGUGUUACAAACUUUCAGAAGUGAAAGUAA